rnacentral:tRNA from 1 species
GCCGGUUUGGCUCAGUGGAUGGAGCGUCAGCCUGCGGACUGAAGGGUCCCGGGUUCAAUUCCCGGUCAAAGGCA